rnacentral:lncRNA from 1 species
UUUUAGAAGAACUCACGGAAACUUUGUGCUGCUGCUCUUUGUUUGCAUAUUGUGGCGAUUUUUUACGAGCAUGUUCACUUUUAGAAGCUGAAGACACAGGUGUUCCUUUCGUGGAUCCUAAAAACAAAUUGACUUAUCAGAAAAGCAAAUAAAUUGACUUAUCAGAUAAUACUGUGAGGCAGCCUCUGAUUACCAAAAGAUUAUUUUGAAACAAUUCACAAAAAAUGACCUUCGUAGCGUGCAUUUACAGGUGGCAUUUGCAUAUUUGGAAUUGUUGUUUUAGGAGGGCCAUCAGGUGUCUCCUUUUGCAACUGUACAGGGAGUAGUAAGUUAACGCGAAACCACACCUGCCAGAAAUAAAAAGGUGUCAAUAUAAUUCAGGUUCUCCAAAAUCAUGAUCAUUGCAUGUGCAACAAUCAAAAACUAACCUAGAUUCAUGGAGAUGAAUGGCCAAUCAAGCAAAGCUCUUGCCUGCG